rnacentral:rRNA from 1 species
GAUGAACGCUGGCGGCGUGCUUAACACAUGCAAGUCGAACGAUGAAGCCCAGCUUGCUGGGUGGAUUAGUGGCGAACGGGUGAGUAACACGUGAGUAACCUGCCCUUAACUCUGGGAUAAGCCUGGGAAACUGGGUCUAAUACCGGAUAGGAGCGCCUACCGCAUGGUGGGUGUUGGAAAGAUUUAUCGGUUUUGGAUGGACUCGCGGCCUAUCAGCUUGUUGGUGAGGUAAUGGCUCACCAAGGCGACGACGGGUAGCCGGCCUGAGAGGGUGACCGGCCACACUGGGACUGAGACACGGCCCAGACUCCUACGGGAGGCAGAAGUGGGGAAUAUUGCACAAUGGGCGAAAGCCUGAUGCAGCGACGCCGCGUGAGGGAUGACGGCCUUCGGGUUGUAAACCUCUUUCGGUAGGGAAGAAGCGAAAGUGACGGUACCUGCAGAAGAAGCACCGGCUAACUACGUG